AUUGAACGCUGGCGGAAUGCUUUACACAUGCAAGUCGAACGAUGAACCUUAGCUUGCUAAGGUGAUUAGUGGCGAACGGGUGAGUAAUGUACCGGAACGUAUCCAAUAAUGGGGGAUAACUAGUCGAAAGAUUAGCUAAUACCGCAUACGUCCUACGGGAGAAAGCUAGGGACCUUCGGGCCUGGCGUUAAUGGAGCGGCCGAUAUCUGAUUAGCUAGUUGGUGGGGUAAAGGCUCACCAAGGCGACGAUCAGUAGCUGGUCUGAGAGGACGACCAGCCACACUGGAACUGAGACACGGUCCAGACUCCUACGGGAGGCAGCAGUGGGGAAUUUUGGACAAUGGGCGAAAGCCUGAUCCAGCCAUUCCGCGUGAGUGAAGAAGGCCUUCGGGUUGUAAAGCUCUUUCGCAAGAGAAGAAAACUUAAGCUCUAACAUAGCUUGAGGUUGACGGUACCUUGAUAAGAAGCACCGGCUAACUACGUGCCAGCAGCCGCGGUAA
rnacentral:rRNA from 1 species